CCCGCCCCCCACAGCCCCGGAGAGCGGCGCCCGCCCGUGCCCGGCAGGUGACUCUCCCUGGCUGGUGUCUGGGACCAGGGCUCUUCGCCCGGCACGUUUCCCAGCAGCACGGACCCGGCAGUUAAGGCGCAGUUAGGUCCAUCAGGCCCCCAGCGGAGAUCAGGAGCGGAGGGGGGAGGGGGUCCGCCUUCCCCCCCGCUGGGAUCAGGAGCCGAGGGGGUCCGCCCUCCACCUGACCCUGCUCUGGGUCCGCGCAUGCGCGGGACGAGGACUCUAAUGUGAGCGACUGCGGGACCCUGGGCUGCACUGCGCACGCGGUCUGGCUUAGCCCCCACCCCAACGCCGGGAGGAAGGCGUGCUCUCUACCCUCGUUAUAGCGAUGGGGAACCUGCAAGGAUGUGACCCGCAUGACCUGGGAGUCCAGGAAGAAGCCGGAUGGGGUUGAGUCCUGUGUGAUCCGGGCUCCUGUCUGCUGCCACCCAUCUCGACAUCAUGGCUAGCCUCUCUACCUGUUCACUGGCCCAGGAUCCCUGUGCGCAUGGACUCCUGGCAUACCUCUCCCUUUCUGAGUCCUGUGGUUGACUCCACUCAGCUGGGUGGCUCUCACUGGGAGCCUGCCAUGCAGUUGCAGUCAGAUGGAAGCAGCAGUCAUCUGAAGGCUCAUCUGGGCUGGAUGUCCAAGGUGGCUUUUUAAAAACAGAAAUCUGACACCUCAUCUGAACUGGUUGGACCAGAUGGGGACUGGCCAGACAUUCCUCUCUCUCUAGAUAGUCUUUCCAUCUGGCUUGCUGAAGUUUUCCUUGUAGAUGGUGAUCUCAGGUAUUCAAACCUCAUACAUGAGUGGUGGCUGACUUUCCCCACCAUGAACAUUCCGACAGGCGACCUCCCUUUGGAAUUCAUGCAGCAUCACUUCCACAGUAUGCUAUGAGUGAAAAUGGAUCACAGGGAUGGCCCAGAUACAAGGGGAGGGGACAAUUCAUAGGUGAGAGUACAGGAAGCAUGCCUGGUUCAAUGGAGACCAUCUUUGGAUAUCAGCUAGUACAGAGGGCCAAGGCGGAAAUGAUCAACUCAGGAACUGCAUGUAUUCCUGUCUCAGCAGAAACCAGGGUGCAAAGGAGCAAAACUGGAAGUGAUGGCCUGUGACAUACCAUGGAGGGGUUCAAUGACAUGCUCCAGAACUUCUAAAUGGGUACCUUCUGGGGUCUUUAGCUGCCUAGCACCUAAGCCUCCUUCCUUUUUUGGAGGAUCCUCCUUAGUGAAGGUGUUAGUGGGAGGUCAGGAUCCCCACCCUUGACCCCUGAUAGGAAAGUCACAGAACUGUGACAUCAGAAGUAUGCCAAAUCAAUGAUCCCACUUGCGACUCUGAUCAGUAAGUGACCCAAGGAAGCAGAGGACUGUUUAUAAUUCAUUCUAGAGGCAGCAACAGCCAGUUCUCCGGGUAGUGGCUGUGCAAGAGAGGACCUCCAGAGCCCAGGGGCAGGAAUCCCCUAAUCAAACUGCCCUUAAGGCAAGACCUGACAGACGUUCUGGCUGCUUAGUUCCUCUUGAUUCCUGCCUACUUCCUGACACGGAUUCUGGAGGCUUCCUGUCAAUUUUGUGAGUUUUCUGAUAUCAUUCCAGUAAAUUCCUCUUCUACUUAAGUAAACCAGAGUCCAUUUCUGUUGUUUGCAAUUAAGAACCCUAAUUGGCACAAAGACCCAUUGAAAUCUUUAGCCAGAGGAAAUGACAUGAUCAGAGCACUUUAUGGAAGAGAAAAACAGAAAAAUCUGAUAAAGAUGAAGAGAGAGAAACAGGGAUGAGAGAGGCCAGUUGGGAGACUGUUGUGAUGUUUGGGGGUGUAUGGUGAAUUACAAUAUUGCCAGUGCCAAGGAAGUGGGAGAAAUGCAGCUUUUGGCCACUGACUGAAUAUGGAAAAAAGGAGAGAGGGGAAAAUCCACGCUGACAGAGUUUUGAGCCUUAGCAACAAGGAAAAUAAUAAUGUCAUAAAGAGAAACAAGCAAGUCAGGGAGAACUAAUUUGGAGGGGGAAAUAUUUCACUCAUUUAUUCAGUAAAUAUUAAUUGCCUGCUCCAUGCCAGGCACUGUUCUAGGCAGUGAGAAGACAGCAGGGAGCAAAACAAAGCUUCAGUCCUAAAUUAACAAAUAAGUACAUGAGAUAAUGAAACUGCUUUAAUAAAGCUUUAGUCUGCAGUGCCAUGGACACACAGCAAAACAUGUCUAACUGGCAGCAGGACUUUAAGAAAAAUCCUAGGAAGCAAGGCUGGGCCUAAAGACAAAUUGGUCAUCAUUCCCAUAGACAUUCAUUCAUUCAUUCAUUUACUUACUUUUAUUUAUUGAGUACCUCCUAUGUACUCAGUACCAUUCUUGCCAUAGGAAAAACAAAAAUAAAAAUAAAAGAGGAUCUCAGCUCUCGUGGAGUUUCCAUUAUAGAGUACAAGGGAGAUGGUAGACAAGUACACAAAUACGUCAGAUAUGUGAUGUGUACUAUGAAGAAACUAAAGGAAGGGAAAAGUAAGAGGAAGUUUGCUAGUUUAGAUAGUUUGUUCUAAGCAAAGGCCCCUCUUGUAAGGCGAUAUUAGAGUGAAGUCUUGAAUGAAGAGAGGCAACAUUCACAUGGUUACCAUGGGAAAUCUAUUUCAGGCAGAGGGAAUAAUAAGUGCAAAGGCCCUGAGGCAGGACAGUUUGGUUUCUUCAAAGAAUUUCCAGGAGACCAGUGUGGCUAAACUAAAUAGAUGAGGGCAGAAGUAGGAGGAGAACAGGUGAACGUGGGAGUGGGAGUGGGAGCCAGAUCUUGUAGGGCCUUGCCAGUCAUUGCAAAUACUUUGGCUCUUGUUCUGAAUGAGAUAGGAAGACUUUGGAGAAUUUUGAGCAGAGGAAGCAUGCUACAUGACUAACACUUUAAAAGGAUUAUUCUGGUGGCUGUGUAUAGAAUAGACUGGGGGUGUGUGAGGGCAGAAGCAGGAAGACCAACUAGAAGACAACUGCAGUCAUUCAAGGCAAGAGACCAUGGUGGCAUGGAGCAGGAUGGUAAUGAUGGAGGAGGGGACAUAUGAUAAGAUUCUAGAAAUAAACAGAAGGAGAACAAACAGGAUCUGCUGAUAGAUUGGAUGUGAGAUGUCAGAGAACUAAAGGACUCCAGUGACUCCAGCGCUUUUAAUAGGAAUCGGUAGAAGAGCAGUUGCCAUUUACUGAACAGAGAGGAUUGAGAAUUAUAUCUAGAGCUUCAAGAUUGCCUCCAGCCAGCCUGCCUGCCUGCCUGCCUGAAUAAUUUGCUCCAAAGCCAUGAUGGGGAGCCAAAGUAAAUCACCCAUGUGCAGGGAGCUGGGGGAGGACAUUCAGCUAGCAUAGGUUUUCGAGGCCAAGAUGAGAGAAGGUGGAAGUCUACAAGGGGGCAGCAGCAACGGCAGGGAAUAAAUUAUCUACAGAGGGAUUAAACAACCCUUCCAACAAGAAGAGAGAAGGAAGUCACAGAAAUAGAAAGGGGGUAAAUUAGAAUAAAUCUUGUGAUGUUGCGUUGGAAUUGAAGGUAUGGUGUGCGCUCAUAGUUUUCUACAUAGAGAGAUUGAGAGAUCGAUCAAUUGACAGAUAGAAAUGUAUGUGUAAAAUUAUACAUAUAUUUCCUAGCACUGUCCGUUGAGCAGCCCGAAAGCAGUGAUACCCCAAGAAAAAUGAGCAUACCUAGCACCUAGAUAUUAAUUUCUGAAUAUCCCUCCCCAUUAAAAAGAACAAAGGUGCCUCAGAGAAAUGAGGGUUGGAGCAGAGAAAAUACAAGAUUGGAGCUUGGAACAUCUUGUGCCAGAAAAUAAGGAAGUGAUCAAAGAACCAUGGUGGUAGAAGCCAGCUUGGCAGCUGGCCCAAUCUGGGAAAUUUUUUCAGCACUAAAAUAAAUAAUGAUGCAACAAGUAAAACACUCAUAUCUAUAAUAAUGUUGCCAAAGAUGCAUAGCCCAAAUCUAAUGAUGAGGAAACAACAGAUAAACCCAAACUGAGGGACAUUCUGCAGUAUGAUCGGUCUGCAGUCUUUUCGGUUGUCCCGGUCAUUAAAGUAAAGGAAAUCUUUGCUCUGUGUCAGACUGAAGGACACUGGAAAGACGUGAUAACCAAAUGUAAUGAAUAAUUCUGGACUGUAUCCUUUCAUCAUUAGGCCAAGUAAUGAAAGUCCAAUAAGGUCUGGGGGUUAGAUGAUAUGAAUGUAUCGAUGUUAAUUUCCUGAUCACGAGCAUUGUACUGUUAUUUAGGAUAAUGUCCCUUUUUUGUAAGAAAUUUGUGAUUGGGCAUCAUGUAGGCAACUUACUCUCAAGUGGUUCAAGGAAGGGGAAAGUUCCUUGUAUGUUGUAAUUUUUCUGUUAUAUCAAAUAAAAAGAAAAAAGACAAAGAA